CAGGAAAACGAAGUUCAACAGUCGGACUUAUCGGCCAGCAGUGAGAAUCUGUCUGAAAACGUCAAAGAAAAGGGAAAUGUGUUCAGUGGGAUGUUUAGAAGAUCUCCAAAACCAUCUGAAGGGUCGCAGUUGGAAGAAGGCGAAGAACCUUUGAAUGGCGAGCUCUCUGCCAGCAACGACAGCCUGUCAGAGAACAAGGAGAAAGGCGGCUUUUUUGGACUCCUAAGAAAGACCCCAAAGUCCACUACAAAGG